CUGUUUAAUACAGUGGAAAUACAAAAAGUGUCCCACUUCCGCUUCUGUAGUUUGUUGUGAUUUACUGUAAUUUGUUCUGUUUUACCAACUUAUCGGCAAAUACCGCGAUAAAACUUAGUUUUAUCUAUUUUAAAUAUGAUAAUUUGUAGCAAAGGGGAAUGAUACAUUUUUCGUCGGUUUCAUUGCAUAAAAGGUACGGAAUUUAAAUUUUAUCGCAGUAUUUGCCGACAAAUCGAUAAUCGCCACUGGAAAAAAAAAGUGAAAUCCAUACUACGAAAUUUGCAAUUGCGCCACUAUAAAUCCAUUGUAUAUCCAUCCUAUUUCGAUACUAUAUCCAUACUAUGGAAAUAUACAAUUAUUAUGGAUAAUCAAAAUCCAUUCUAUUUCCAAUGAAGGUCCAUACAAUUUCCAUUCCAUGACCUUCUAUGGAUUUUCAAUUUUUUUUCCAAUGCGCUACAGAAAAACAGAACAAAUUACAGCAAAUCGCAACAAACUACAGAAGCGGAAGUGGGACAAUUUUUGUAUUUUCACUGUAACAGUCUUGAGGAUGUUAGAGUUUCUUCUCACGCGUCUAACCACACCCUUUAAUUUCCUCUAACCACUGAGCCAGUAUCAACAGUACAGAGAUUUACUAUAAACAGAACAAAUUACAGUAAAUCGCAACAAACUACAGAAGCGGAAGUGGGACAAUUUUUGUAUUUUCGCUGUAACAGUCAUGAGGAUGUUAGAGUUUCUUCUCACGCGUCUAACCACACCCUUCAAUUUCCUGUAAGUUCUGUAACCACAGAGCCAGUAUCAACAGAGAUUAACUAUAAACAGAACAAAUUACAGUAAAUCACAAUAAACUACAGAAGCGGAAGUGGGACACUUUUUGUAUUUUCACUGUAAAUUAAUGUGCAUUUCCAGGAAACUUAAUAUGCAUGGCAGAUGCUUGUACAAUUUUGUGUACCAAUUCCAUGCUAAAGUGCUGGUAUUUCUCUUAUUCUUUGUUUGCAAUGA
rnacentral:lncRNA from 1 species